rnacentral:rRNA from 1 species
AUUGAACGCUGGCGGCAGGCCUAACACAUGCAAGUCGAGCGAGUGGCGGACGGGUGAGUAAUGUCUGUGACACUGCCUGAUGGAUGGGGAUAACUACUGGACACGGUAGCUAAUACCGCAUACCAUCGGAUGUGCCCAGAUGGGAUUAGCUAGUAGGUGGGGUAACGGCUCACCUAGGCGACGAUCCCUAGCUGGUCUGAGAGGAUGACCAGCCACACUGGAACUGAGAAACGGUCCAGACUCCUACGGGAGGCAGCAGUGGGGAAUAUUGCACAAUGGGCGCAAGCCUGAUGCAGCCAUGCCGCGUGUGUGAAGAAGGCCUUCGGGUUGUAAAGCACUUUCAGCGAGGAGGCGUUACUCGCAGAAGAAGCACCGGCUAACUCCGUGCCAGCAGCCGCGGUAAUAC